rnacentral:rRNA from 1 species
ACGCACGCUUGCGGCGUGCUUAACCCAUGCCAGUCGCACGGAAAGGCCCUGCUUUUGUGGGGUGCUCGAGUGGCGAACGGGUGAGUAACACGUGAGUAACCUGCCCUUGACUUUGGGAUAACUUCAGGAAACUGGGGCUAAUACCGGAUAGGAGCUCCUGCUGCCUGGUGGGGGUUGGAAAGUUUCGGCGGUUGGGGAUGGACUCGCGGCUUAUCAGCUUGUUGGUGGGGUAGUGGCUUACCAAGGCUUUGACGGGUAGCCGGCCUGAGAGGGUGACCGGCCACAUUGGGACUGAGAUACGGCCCAGACUCCUACGGGAGGCAGCAGUGGGGAAUAUUGCACAAUGGGCGGAAGCCUGAUGCAGCAACGCCGCGUGCGGGAUGACGGCCUUCGGGUUGUAAACCGCUUUCGCCUGUGACGAAGCGUGAGUGACGGUAAUGGGUAAAGAAGCACCGGCUAACUACGUG